AAAGUCGUAACAAGGUUUCCGUAGGUGAACCUGCGGAAGGAUCAUUACAGAGUUCAUGCCCUUACGGGUAGAUCUCCCACCCUUGAAUACAUUACCUUUGUUGCUUUGGCGGGCCGCUUCGUCCACCAGCUUUAGCUAGUGAGUGCCCGCCAAAGGACCUAAAACUCUGAAUUAUAGUGUCGUCUGAGUACUAUAUAAUAGUUAAAACUUUCAACAACGGAUCUCUUGGUUCUG
rnacentral:misc_RNA from 1 species